rnacentral:rRNA from 1 species
GACGUAGGGCGCGAGCGUUGUCCGGAUUUAUUGGGCGUAAAGAGCGCGUAGGCGGUUUGGAGCGUCGGCCGUGAAAACUUGGGGCUUAACCCCAAGCUUGCGGUCGAUACGGGCAGACUUGAGUUCGGCAGGGGAGACUGGAAUUCCUGGUGUAGCGGUGAAAUGCGCAGAUAUCAGGAGGAACACCGGUGGCGAAGGCGGGGCUCUGGGCCGAUACUGACGCUGAGGAGCGAAAGCGUGGGGAGCGAACAGG